AAAAACGAUUUUCUCUGUCACACACUCACAACACACGUGCCUGGCUGCAAAAGUGCAUUGUGAGGGACUUCGGCAGCAGGCGCUCGGCUCGUGCACAGCCAACAGCAAUUUCAGCAAAUGACAAAUUGUUGGCUGACUGCAGCAGCAGUAGUACGGGUUCAACGAGCCAAACCCAAUGAAUAUAGUUGGUCACGAAUGUUUGAUCUUGAACAGAACUUACAACAUCGAUCAACAUGCUUCAAUGAAACAUGUACAGAAAAGAGUGGGAGUCUGUACCUUAACAAAUGUCAAAUCAUAUUUUUUUGCAGAGAUGGCCAGUCAAUUUGAGUAACGUUAUUGUGUAGCCAACGUAAUGACGCAGUUUUACGUUAUCACGCAAUGACGUGACAACGUCAUUUAGCAACUUUUAGCAAGUCGUCAACCUGCUUCUAGCUACUUACCCUGAAAUUUAUUUAGCAACACGCUGCUCAUUGAGAAGAGUAAGAACGAUACGUGCUUCACGUCAGAGUCUCGAAUAACACCAGAAAGUCUCUAGUCUCUUUUUUGAAAAUGUGCGCUAGAGGGGUCUGAAUACUCGCUAAAUAUAGCGACAACGUCGCUAAGUUGGCAACACUGGCGGAGGACCGAAAGGCGAACACGUGCUACACCAGCAGAGAGAUGAGUUCUAGUGAUGACGUGAGGUUCAACAUGGACAACAAGCAAAUGGACCAGUUUGGCGGAAUGGGAGAAAAAGCGCUACAGAAACAUGAAGAGGAACCACUUGGCCAUAGGUACUAUAUAUCUCUGAGGCAUUGAUGAAGGAUAAUGCUCUCUGUUGUUCCUCAGUGGCCUGUUUCAGGACAUUAGCCUCAGAUAGAAAUGUGUUGUGUAGAACAGAUAUAAUUGUCUGUUUGGUUGAUCAGGGAAUCAGGACCUCUCUAUUCGUUAUAUUUAUAUGUGGAACGUUCGGAAAUCGGGACCUCUCUAUUCGUUAUAUUUCUAUGUGGAACGUUCAGAUUGUGCCACCUCUGAAUACACCCCAGUUCUGUAGCCGCUGGUCCCUGUAUUUAUGAUGCAUGGCCGGGAGGGGAAGGAGAGAGAGAGUAGAUCGCCCCCACAAGGACCUAGUGACACAGUGGAGGAAGAAUGGACCCCUCACCUGGAGAGAAAAUACCAGGGUAAAACUCAAAGGAGAAGGGAGAAUAAGUCCAGAACACCUUCUACAGCCUCCACAUCUAAACCCCCUCAGUCCAGAACACCUACAGCCUCCACAUCUAAACCCCCUCAGUCCAGAACACCUACAGCCUCCACAUCUAAACCCCCUCAG